GUAUCCCCACGCUCAGUGACGACACGCGCUUACGUAAAAUCGUAUCUUACUCGUACUGUUAACGUAAGCAAAUAACAGAAAACAUAAACCUUAAAUAGGUCACGUAAAACCAUAACCUACAUUUUUUCAGUGUGUAGAAGCAAACCGCAUUUGUGGGCGAUGUAUUUAUUAUUAUAUUCAUAAAAUGUUUCAAGAGUAAGCAAUUAAUGUUUUAACACUUUGACUUUUUAUUACUGAAACUAUACGAUACACAGUGCUAUUUUUGUAUGGAGUUACAUAAUAACGUAAUAAGUUAUAAGGUUAAUUUUGUACCUGCCACUGUGUCGGUAUAUACCUACACAAUAUAAAUACGACAAAACGCGGUGAACAACUAUCCAGCAAUUGUUUAAAAUUAAAUUGUGAUUACACGUAGGUAAUCAUCGGUAGGUUCUCAAGACAAGUCACAUUUUGGAAGUGGCAAUAACCAUUGGUUGCAUGUUAAAAGAACAGUUUAAAUUGUUGCCAGGCUUAAAUUAUGCCGGUUUGUCGUGACCUCUGGCGAAGGUCAUCAGCCGUGGCACUUAGCGAUGUUACCUUUGCCAAGGACAGACGGAUAAAAACUUUUAAAGUUUCUGCACCUGUGCCCUACGUAAUUAGCGUGAAUAAUUACUUUUCUUUCAUGAGUAAUGGUGUGCAAAUUUGCUUUUGAAUUGUUUUAAAAAUAUUGUUUAUGCUAUUUCUUUGAGGUGUUCGUAAAUGUUUUUGUUGUGGUAAGACAAACAGCACUGAACAGAUAUGUAAUGUUCAUCAUUAUUGUGAAGCAGUUUAAAGUUAUGGCACCCCCCACUGCAGCUAGUAAGUGCAUUCCACAAUCGAAUAGCUUGGAUGGAGAAUGAAUUGUCAAAACCUAUUAAUGAUGAAAUAAAUGAUCUAAAAAGACUUAA